rnacentral:rRNA from 1 species
CCUACGGGAGGCAGCAGUGGGGAAUAUUGGACAAUGGGCGAAAGCCUGAUCCAGCAAUUCCGCGUGUGUGAAGAAGGCCUUCGGGUUGUAAAGCACUUUAGUUGGGGAAGAAACAGCUUGGCCACACCAAGCCUUGACGGUACCCAAAGAAUAAGCACCGGCUAACUCUGUGCCAGCAGCCGCGGUAAUACAGAGGGUGCAAGCGUUAAUCGGAUUUACUGGGCGUAAAGGGUGCGUAGGUGGUUUUGUAAGUCGGAUGUGAAAGCCUGGGGCUCAACCUCAGAAUUGCACUCGAUACUGCAAGACUAGAGUUCGGUAGAGGGCGGCGGAAUUCCCGGUGUAGCGGUGAAAUGCGUAGAUAUCGGGAGGAACAUCAAUGGCGAAGGCAGCCGCCUGGGCCUGAACUGACACUGAGGCACGAAAGCGUGGGUAGCAAACAGGAUUAGAUACCCUGGUAGUCCACGCUGUAAACGAUGAGAACUUGACGUUGGUUCGUUUUACGAAUCGGUGUCGCAGCUAACGCGAUAAGUUCUCCGCCUGGGGAGUACGGCCGCAAGGUUGAAACUUAAGGAAUUGACGGCUGAGACGNGCGACGACGACGACGAGGAGAGG